rnacentral:sRNA from 1 species
UCAUCAGCCAUAUCAGAAUUCCACAGUGCUAGAUUAUCCCUCAGAAGUUGCAUGAUCAGUGUACUAUCUUUGUAAUUCUCCUCACUGAGGGAGGGAAGCUCCGCAACAGCUUCAUCAAAGGCGUUCUUAGCAAAAACAACAUACUUGUCAGGUGAGUUCAUGAUCUCACAGUAGAAGACAGAUAUAUUCAGAGCUAAACCAAGUCUGAUAGGGUCAGUUGGAGUGAGAUCUGUCUGCGCAGAUCACAUGCCUCAUAAGCAUUGAGUGACAGUUCAGACACUUCAAUCUUCUCAGUCCCAGUCUUGAACUCUGCAAGGUACCGGUAGGUAAAGCAGCGUCACAUUUUGUAGUAGAAGACUGAGCUCUCAGCUCCAGAGGAAUGUGGGAUAAGGUACUUGUCAAUAAUGUUUAUGACAUCACAGCAGAUUUUAUCCAUCUCAGCCUCCACCUUGCGACGAUACUCAGCAGUCUGCCUUACAUGACUCUCCUUGCCCUUUGUCUCCUCCUUUAGCUCAAUGGAUCCAAUGAUACGCAUUGCCGCACGCUUUGCACCAAUCAAAUUCUUGUAGCCAACUGAGAGGAGGUUCCUCUCCUCCUUUGUCAGCCCCUCGUCUAACUUUGCCACACUAUUCAUUGCCUCCACCAUCUC